rnacentral:rRNA from 1 species
ACGGGAGGCAGCAGUGAGGAAUAUUGGUCAAUGGGCGCAAGCCUGAACCAGCCAUGCCGCGUGCAGGAUGACGGUCCUAUGGAUUGUAAACUGCUUUUGUACAGGAAGAAACACUCCCUCGUGAGGGAGCUUGACGGUACUGUAAGAAUAAGGAUCGGCUAACUCCGUGCCAGCAGCCGCGGUAAUACGGAGGAUCCAAGCGUUAUCCGGAAUCAUUGGGUUUAAAGGGUCCGUAGGCGGUUUUAUAAGUCAGUGGUGAAAUCUGGUCGCUCAACGAUCAAACGGCCAUUGAUACUGUAGAACUUGAAUUACUUGGAAGUAACUAGAAUAUGUAGUGUAGCGGUGAAAUGCUUAGAGAUUACAUGGAAUACCAAUUGCGAAGGCAGGUUACUACAAGUAUAUUGACGCUGAUGGACGAAAGCGUGGGGAGCGAACAGGAUUAGAUACCCUGGUA